GUUCCUCGGUAAAUGUUUUAGAAGAAUUACCACCGGAACCAACCGUAAGUAGUUCUGUCAAUAUAUUAAAAAACAAAAGGGCCAGGGAGGAUGGGGCGGCGUUACCGAGGGAACAUUCCCUCGUUAGCCCGCCGGUAUGGGGUCGAAAACCCUUGAUCCGAUACUAGGCUUUUCCAUAGCACAACCCCGUGCCUCCUACCUCCUCUCCCGCCUCCUCCCUCUCCACAUCCCGCCUCCGUCUACUGUCAGCUUUGGCGUCUACCUGUAGCCUCCAUCCACCUCCCUGCAUCUGGAGCUUCUUCCGCAUGCCACCGCUUCGACUGCUGCUUCCUCUGCGCCUCUGCCACUUCUCCGGUUGGUCCUCUGCUCAGCUUCGCCCGUUUCUCUGCUCGACCUCUGGCCGUGCUCUGCCGCAGAUCCGGCCCAGCGUGUGUCUGCCUCAGAUCCGCCCCUUGCUCCGCCCGUCCUCAUUCCAAAAGAGCGAAGUCGGGCACGGCGCAUCCAUCCCUAGAUCUCGCACCAGCCUCGACCCUCCAUGUCCCACCUCGAGCACAGUGCUGUGCAACCUAAAAGCAUCCAUAACAACUGAGCUUUUUGCCUCCAACCGUGGCCAAAGAAGCCACCAUCGAUCAUAAACAACCGAGCAAGAGCAAGGACAAUAUAAUGGGCAGAAAAGGAGGUUGGUGAAAGUCAUGAAUGUGUCUCUUUCCUUUUCCUGGUCGAACAUGAAUGUGUUCUUCAAGCAAAAAGACAUAUUUAGGAUGAAUCAUUGCCUCUUUUUAACGUAUUAGAGUCUAAGUUUGUGGCCCUUCGAGGAGACACGUUCUUCUAAGUUGGAUCAUAUAAAUUGAAUGUCAUGUGCAAUCAAGAUAUAUAUAUUUCAUUUAUUUCAUGAUAGCUCCAA